rnacentral:rRNA from 1 species
AUGUGUAGGGGGGGAAGAACCAACCGGGGGAUUGCCCUAGUAACGGCGAGUGAAGCGGCAAGAGCUCAAAUUUGAAAGCUGGCCCCCUCGGGGUCCGCAUUGUAAUUUGCAGAGGAUGCUUCGGGAACGGCCCCCAUCUAAGUGCCCUGGAACGGGCCGUCAUAGAGGGUGAGAAUCCCGUCUGGGAUGGGGUGGCCGCGCCCGUGUGAAGCUCCUUCGACGAGUCGAGUUGUUUGGGAAUGCAGCUCUAAUUGGGUGGUAAAUUUCAUCUAAAGCUAAAUAUUGGCCGGAGACCGAUAGCGCACAAGUAGAGUGAUCGAAAGAUGAAAAGCACUUUGAAAAGAGAGUUAAACAGCACGUGAAAUUGUUGAAAGGGAAGCGCUUGCGACCAGACUCGCCCGCGGGGUUCAGCCGGCACUCGUGCCGGUGUACUUCCCCGCGGGCGGGCCAGCGUCGGUUUGGGCGGCCGGUCAAAGGCCUCUGGAAGGUAACGCCUCUCGGGGCGUCUUAUAGCCAGGGGUGCCAUGCGGCCUGCCCGGACCGAGGAACGCGCUUCGGCUCGGACGCUGGCAUAAUGGUCGUAAGCGACCCGUCUUGAAACACGGACCAAGGAGUCUAACAUCUACGCGAGUGUUUCGGGUGUCAAACCCGUGCGCGCAGUGAAAGCGAACGGAGGUGGGAACCCCCCCGGGGUGCACCAUCGACCGAUCCUGAUGUCUUCGGAUGGAUUUGAGUAAGAGCGUAGCUGUUGGGACCCGAAAGAUGGUGAACUAUGCCUGAAUAGGGGCGAAGCCAGAGGAUACUC